rnacentral:rRNA from 1 species
UCGGAGGCAGCAGUGGGGAAUUUUCCGCAAUGGGCGAAAGCCUGACGGAGCAAUACCGCGUGAGGGAUGACGGCCUAUGGGUUGUAAACCUCUUUUUCCAGGGAGGAAUAAAUGACGUGUACCUGAAGAAUAAGCAUCGGCUAACUCCGUGCCAGCAGCCGCGGUAAGACGGAGGAUGCAAGUGUUAUCCGGAAUCACUGGGCGUAAAGCGUCUGUAGGUGGUUUAAUAAGUCAACUGUUAAAUCUUGAGGCUUAACUUCAAAAUCGCAGUCGAAACUAUUAGACUAGAGUAUAGUAGGGGUAACGGGAAUUUCCAGUGGAGCGGUGAAAUGCGUAGAGAUUGGAAAGAACACCGAUGGCGAAGGCACUUUACUGGGCUAUUACUAACACUCAGAGACGAAAGCUAGGGUAGCAAAUGGGAUUAGAUACCCCAGUAGUCU